rnacentral:rRNA from 1 species
AGAGGGGGAUAACACUUGGAAACAGGUGCUAAUACCGCAUAACCAUGAACACCGCAUGAUGUUCAUGUAAAAGACGGCUUUUGCUGUCACUUUUGGAUGGGCCUGCGGCGUAUUAACUUGUUGGUGGGGUAACGGCCUACCAAGGUGAUGAUACGUAGCCGAACUGAGAGGUUGAUCGGCCACAUUGGGACUGAGACACGGCCCAAACUCCUACGGGAGGCAGCAGUAGGGAAUCUUCCACAAUGGACGAAAGUCUGAUGGAGCAACGCCGCGUGAAUGAAGAAGGCCUUCGGGUCGUAAAAUUCUGUUGUCAGAGAAGAACGUGCGUGAGAGUAACUGUUCACGUAUUGACGGUAUCUGACCAGAAAGCCACGGCUAACUACGUGCCAGCAGCCGCGGUAAUACGUAGGUGGCAAGCGUUGUCCGGAUUUAUUGGGCGUAAAGGGAACGCAGGCGGUCUUUUAAGUCUGAUGUGAAAGCCUUCGGCUUAACCGAAGUAGUGCAUUGGAAACUGGAAGACUUGAGUGCAGAAGAGGAGAGUGGAACUCCAUGUGUAGCGGUGAAAUGCGUAGAUAUAUGGAAGAACACCAGUGGCGAAAGCGGCUCUCUGGUCUGUAACUGACGCUGAGGUUCGAAAGCGUGGGUAGCAAACAGGAUUAGAUACCCUGGUAGUCCACGCCGUAAACGAUGAGUGCUAAGUGUUGGAGGGUUUCCGCCCUUCAGUGCUGCAGCUAACGCAUUAAGCACUCCGCCUGGGGAGUACGGUCGCAAGACUGAAACUCAAAGGAAUUGACGGGGGCCCGCACAAGCGGUGGAGCAUGUGGUUUAAUUCGAAGCAACGCGAAGAACCUUACCAGGUCUUGACAUCUUCUGACAAUUCCAGAGAUGGAACGUUCCCUUCGGGGACAGAAUGACAGGUGGUGCAUGGUUGUCGUCAGCUCGUGUCGUGAGA